AGCCAGCAGGGGUGGGCAGAGCCAGCAGCUAGAGGCUCAAGAAGAGGCUGAGACAGCAGAGCCAGACUCCAAGAAAAAGACAAAUCCAGGCAUCUGGAAGAGAAUUAAGAUGGGCAUUCCUAACCUGCUGUCUGCUGAGAGCUGGAACUCAACGAAGCCACAGUGCCACUGGGGUUACAUUGUCAUCCCUGGACACAUAGUGAAAACAACCCACAUCACCCGGGCCGAGAGAGAGAGAGAGGGAGAAGAGGAAGGAGCUCCUGAAGGAUGAGGAGAUAAGGAAGAAGCUGGAGGAUUAUCAUAAGCAGUGGAGAGCCCAGUCCCUGCUUAGAAAACAACAAACGUAAAGAGGAGAGGGAGAGGAUGAAGGAACAGUCCCUAAAAGAAAAGCAGGAGAAAUGGCUGGAGCAGAUGAAUCUGGAGGCUGAUGCUCUAAUCAAGAAGUGCAGCACCCAGUACAUCACCCGCUGUCCAACCACACAACACAGCCAUGACUACAACCACGGUCAGGAGUUGCCGUGGUUGGCCACGCGCCAACAGGUAAGCCAAGAGCCCGUUGGAUCUGGAGAUGGCCAGCAGGAGGGGCCAAGGAGGCCGCAGGCAUGGGCAGAGAACCAGCAGGGGGGGCCAGAGAACCAGCAGGGGGGGCAGAGAGACAGCAGAUAGAGGCUCAAGAAGAGGCUGAGACAGCAGAGCCAAACUGUAAGAAAAAGAAAAAUCCAGGCAUCUGGAAGAGAAUUAAGAUGGGCAUUCCUAACCUGCUGUCUGCUGAGAGCUGGAACUCAACAAAGCCACAGUGUCGCCCAAUAAUUCCUCCUCCUCUUCAGUUCUUCAUGCCUUUUUAAGCUCCUCAAGCCAGCAAGUAUCCUCUUAAUCAAGGCAACAAACUGUCUAAGGUCAGCAACUCUCCUCCCCAGACCAGAAAUUCUCAUCUUUACGUGGUCCUCUGUAGCUCAGCUGGUAGAGCACGGCGCUUGUAACGCCAAGGUAGUGGGUUCGAUC